CGUANNGUGANUNGCAGAAUUCAGUGAAUCAUCAAAUCCUUGAACGCAACUUGCGCUCGCAAGUCCACUUGCGAGCAUGCCUGUUUGAGUAUCGG
rnacentral:rRNA from 1 species